rnacentral:rRNA from 1 species
AGUGAACGCUGGCGGUAGGCCUAACACAUGCAAGUCGAACGGCAGCACAGUAAGAGCUUGCUCUUACGGGUGGCGAGUGGCGGACGGGUGAGGAAUACGUCGGAAUCUACUUUUUCGUGGGGGAUAACGUAGGGAAACUUACGCUAAUACCGCAUGCGACCUACGGGUGAAAGCAGGGGAUCUUCGGACCUUGCGCGAUUGAAUGAGCCGAUGUCGGAUUAGCUAGUUGGCGGGGUAAAGGCCCACCAAGGCGACGAUCCGUAGCUGGUCUGAGAGGAUGAUCAGCCACACUGGAACUGAGACACGGUCCAGACUCCUACGGGAGGCAGCAGUGGGGAAUAUUGGACAAUGGGCGCAAGCCUGAUCCAGCCAUACCGCGUGGGUGAAGAAGGCCUUCGGGUUGUAAAGCCCUUUUGUUGGGAAAGAAAAGCAGCAGGUUAAUACCCCGCUGUUCUGACGGUACCCAAAGAAUAAGCACCGGCUAACUUCGUG